rnacentral:rRNA from 1 species
UACGGAGGGUGCGAGCGUUGUCCGGAAUCACUGGGCGUAAAGGGCGCGUAGGCGGUGUGUCAAGUCAGGCGUGAAAGCCCCGGGCUUAACCUGGGAACUGCGUCUGAUACUGGAUGGCUUGAAUUCGGGGAGAGGGAUGCAGAAUUCCAGGUGUAGCGGUGAAAUGCGUAGAUAUCUGGAGGAAUACCGGUGGCGAAGGCGGCAUCCUGGACCGACAUUUGACGCUGAUGAGCGAAAAGCUAGGGGGAGCAAACGGG